CAGAUGUGAAAGACCCGGGGCGUCAACCUCGGAAAUUGCAUUUGAAACUAGGCAGACUAGAGUACUGUAGAGGGGGGUAGGAAGUUUCAGGUGUAGCGGUGAAAUGCGUAGAGAUCUGAAGGAAUACCGGUGGCGAAGGCGGCCCCCUCGGACAGAUACUGACACUCAGAUGCGAAAGCGUGGGGAGCAAACAGGAUUAGAUACCCUGGUAG
rnacentral:rRNA from 1 species